AAAAGAGUUUUUGACCUUCAAAAUUUUCAUUUUUUUUUUGUUUAUUGGUUAAGAAUUUUUUUCUCCAUCGACAAAAUUGACAUCCAUGAUCAAUUAAAACAAUCAAAAUAGUUAAUCAAUCAUUCAUCGAUCAUAGGAGAUUUCUAUCUAUAUAGAUUGAUUUGGUUGAAUUAACGACGACAACAUAUGAAAAAACAAAAUCGAAUGAAACAAUCAUCAAUUAAUUAAUGUCGAAAUAGAAUCGAAUCGAACACAUUGAAAAUAGCCGGAACACUCGAAUUUUUUAUUUUGUUCAUUCGUUGAUUCCCGAACAUUCGUGACUAUGUUCAUUUCUAUCAUCAUCAUCAUCGACCUAGAUUUUUGAGUUUUUUUUUUAAUUUCAUUUCAACAAUGAAUUAGUAUAUCAUCCAAUUACUCUGAUUAUUAUUGUUUUUUUGUUUGGCAAAAUGCAAACAAUCAAAACAUUGCGAUACAGUAAAUGAAGACGGAGAAAAUUAUCUUUUUUGUUGCUGUUGCUUGGUUUGAAGCCACAAUAUCAAUAUUCGUAACAAGAAAAAACAAGAUCACUAUCAACAUUUGGUUUGUCUGGUUCGUUGGUUGUUUGAUUAUUACCCGAAUCCAUUGAUCAUCAUCAUCAUGAUAAUGAUGAUGGCCAACAACAACAACCACGGCAACGACUACGACGAUACAUCACAAAACAAGCAACAUUUGACUAAUUAUUAUUACUACUAUACCCUAAAUAGUUGUUUGCUGCUGAAUCAAGUGUAUGGUGUGUGUGUGUGUGCACUUGAUUCAUUUCGAAUCAUCAUCAAUGGUCGAAGAAGAAGAAAAUUUCUCGUAGGACGAUGUUGAUGAUGAUGAUGAUGAUGGAAAGAUUUUUGCCUGUGAUUGUGUAGUCUUGUGAAUAACGAUUCGAUGAUGAUGAUGAAAAUUCCUCAAGUUCAAAAUCAACCUUUUUUGUGAAAUUAAGAAAAAAAAUGAGGCUAACAACAGUUGGUUCGAUGAUCAAUGAUCAAUGUGUGGAGGGUCAUCAAGAACAUCAAGAUCAAAAAAAAAAAACAAUUCGGUCAAAUAGACCAACAACGAUGAUUAUGAUGAUGAUGAUGAUGAUGAUGAUGAUGAUGAUGAUGAUGAUGAUGAUGGACCAACUCCUACAUUGUGCAAGAACGAGAACCACAGAUAGAGAAAAAAAACAAAACAAUAAUUCCUGACAAUCAAUCAAUUAAACAUAUUCAUGAUAAUGUCAGGAAUUUCGUUUUUUUUUUUGACUACAAAAAAAAUACUCUACAAAGAAAAAAAUUCAUAAAUUUCAUUCAUUUAUUUAUGAUCAUGACAGAACAAUCAUCAAAAUUCGAUAAAUCAAGUGAAUAAACGAUUGGAAAUGAAAGAAACAAAAUUCCAUUAAUGAUGAAUAUGCAAAUCAACCCCCUCCCUUCACAUUGAUGAACAACCAUCAAACAUGACUUGAACCAAUAAUGUCUAUUUGGCUUAUCUUGACUUUAUGAUCACUUGAAUACCUACUAAUGAUAAUACCCAUCCAUCCAUUCAUGAGAUUUUGAAAGAAUAGAUUUAUGAUUAUUAUCAGCAAAUUCCUAGACCAAGAUACCAGAUAUCUACAGAUGGCUGUAAGCCUGUAUUUAAUGCAUCAUCAUAAUAAUAAAUAAACAGAAAUUCAAUGUGUGAUCAAUGAACCUAGGUUAUGUUGUCAAUAUUGUGGGACAUUAUUGAACAACAAUCGAUAUCGAUGAUGAUGAUUAUAAUAACAAUAUAUGUAAUGAAGGCAUCAAAAAAAAGAUUC